CCCUUGGCUGAAAUCGUCUUAAGAGAGGUAGAGGCUAAAGUUCUGCAUAUGUUCCGCAACAGUAUGAGGUUCUAUUUGUGCUACGUUGAUGACAUCAUGACCGUUUGGGACAAAGGGGCAAAGCCUGAAGGUUCAGUGGAACAACUUUCGAUAGAAUCUUAUGGCCUCGUACUAAAAUUACAACAAUUAAGUUGCUUUUCUGCACACUUCUUAGUUAUUAGUUUGAAGAUAGAGAACAAAAAAUUAGAAACAUCUGUGUACAGAGGAUCAUCCUAUGAACCCAUUAUUAUCCCGGGAUGUUCCUCGGAUCCAAUGAG
rnacentral:lncRNA from 1 species